GUGGGGAAUCUUAGACAAUGGGCGCAAGCCUGAUCUAGCCAUGCCGCGUGGGUGAUGAAGGCCUUAGGGUCGUAAAGCCCUUUCGCCGGGGAAGAUAAUGACGGUACCCGGUAAAGAAACCCCGGCUAACUCCGUGCCAGCAGCCGCGGUAAUACGGAGGGGGUUAGCGUUGUUCGGAAUGACUGGGCGUAAAGCGCGCGUAGGCGGGCUGGAAAGUCAGAGGUGAAAGCCCGGGGCUCAACCCCGGAAUGGCCUUUGAAACUCCCAGCCUUGAGUUCGAGAGAGGUGAGUGGAAUUCCGAGUGUAGAGGUGAAAUUCGUAGAUAUUCGGAGGAACACCAGUGGCGAAGGCGGCUCACUGGCUCGACACUGACGCUGAGGUGCGAAAGCGUGGGGAGCAAACAGGAUUAGAAACCCCGGUAGUCC
rnacentral:rRNA from 1 species